rnacentral:rRNA from 1 species
CCUACGGGAGGCAGCAGUGGGGGAUCUUGCACAAUGGGGGGAACCCUGAUGCAGCGACGCCGCGUGGGUGAAGAAGCGCCUCGGCGCGUAAAGCUCUGUCAGCAGGGAAGAAAAUGACGGUACCUGAAGAAGAAGCCCCGGCUAACUACGUGCCAGCAGCCGCGGUAAUACGUAGGGGGAAAGCGUGAUCCGGAUUUAUGGGGUGUAAGGGUGGCGGAGACGGCGAUGCAAGCCAGGAGUGAAAGCCCGGGGCCCAACCCCGGGACGGCUCUUGGAACUGCGUGGCUGGAGUGCAGGAGGGGCAGGCGGAAUUCCUGGUGUAGCGGUGAAAUGCGUAGAGAUCAGGAGGAACACCAGUGGCGAAGGCGGCCUGCUGGACUGCAACUGACGUUGAGGCGCGAAAGCGUGGGGAGCAAACAGGAUUAGAUACCCGGGUAGUC